CCUACGGGUGGCAGCAGUAGGGAAUAUUGCUCAAUGGGGGAAACCCUGAAGCAGCAACGCCGCGUGGAGGAUGAAGGUUUUAGGAUUGUAAACUCCUUUUGUUAGAGAAGAUUAUGACGGUAUCUAACGAAUAAGCACCGGCUAACUCCGUGCCAGCAGCCGCGGUAAUACGGAGGGUGCAAGCGUUACUCGGAAUCACUGGGCGUAAAGAGUGCGUAGGCGGGGUAAUAAGUCAGAUGUGAAAUCCUGUAGCUUAACUACAGAACUGCAUUUGAAACUGUUACUCUGGAGUGUGGGAGAGGUAGGGGGAAUUCUUGGUGGAGGGGUAAAAUCCGGAGAGAUCAAGAGGAAUACUC
rnacentral:rRNA from 1 species